UCGAGAAUAUUCCGCAAUGGACGAAAGUCUGACGGAGCAAUACCGCGUGUAGGAUGACGGCCUUCGGGUUGUAAACUACUUUUCUAUAGGAGCAAGUACGCUGAGAGUACUAUGGGAAUAAGGGGUUACUAACUCUGUGCCAGCAGUAGCGGUAAUACAGAGACCCCAAGCAUUAUCCGGAUUUAUUGGGCGUAAAGAGUGUGUAGGCGGCUUCAUUUGUCAGUUGUUAAAGCCGGUGGCUCAACCAUCG
rnacentral:rRNA from 1 species